rnacentral:rRNA from 1 species
CACUACCUCUGGCGGCAGGCCUAACACAUGCAAGUCGAGCGAGCAUUUCGGUGCUAGCGGCGGACGGGUGAGUAACGCGUGGGAACGUGCCCUUUUCUGCGGAAUAGUCCUGGGAAACUGGGGGUAAUACCGCAUACGCCCUUUUGGGGAAAGAUUUAUCGGAGAAGGAUCGGCCCGCGUUGGAUUAGGUAGUUGGUGGGGUAAUGGCCCACCAAGCCGACGAUCCAUAGCUGGUUUGAGAGGAUGAUCAGCCACACUGGGACUGAGACACGGCCCAGACUCCUACGGGAGGCAGCAGUGGGGAAUCUUAGACAAUGGGGGCAACCCUGAUCUAGCCAUGCCGCGUGAGUGAUGAAGGCCUUAGGGUUGUAAAGCUCUUUCAGCUGGGAAGAUAAUGACGGUACCAGCAGAAGAAGCCCCGGCUAACUCCGUG